rnacentral:lncRNA from 1 species
UGUUAAAUACAACAACUUGAAGGAUGGAACAAGAACAAAUACAACUUGCAACAAAUAUGCGAGAAAGGAGGUGUCUCAGCCUGGACUGGCGGGUUCCACCGGGAAUCAAUUCUAUGUCCAGUCAAGUUUUGCCCGAUUGUACUACUUUGGUCAAAAUUUAGAUUUUUUAUUAUUUUUUUGUAUCAAUUUUUUUUUUUAAAUUAACUACUUUAAAU